rnacentral:rRNA from 1 species
UACAGAGGUGCCGAGCGUUAGGCGGAAUCACUGGGCUUAAGCGUGUGUAGGCGGACUUCUAAGUACCUUGUGAAAUCCCACGGCUCACCCGUGGAACUGCUGGGUAUACUGGUCGUCUUGAGCCACCUAGGGGCCAGCGGAACAAAUGGUGGAGCGGUGAAAUGCGUAGAUAUCAUUUGGAACGCCAACGGUGAAAACAGCUGGCUGGGGGUGUGCUGACGCUGAGACACGAAAGCCAGGGGAGCGAACGGG